GACUACGUGAGCGGGUACGACAUGGUUCCUGACCUGCACCUUCAUGCCAAACGACUCCCGGCCUCCGGAGCCGGGUGCGGAGGUUCGAAUCCUCCCGGGGUCACCA
rnacentral:tRNA from 1 species